rnacentral:lncRNA from 12 species
CUGUGUCCGUGUUCACAAAGGUCCAUGACAAACGUGAUUCCAAAAUACUUUGAAGAUAAAUACACCUUACAUGGCUUUCAUGCUGUUUGCACUUUGUGUUAAUGAGUUCAUCAUUUCCUCUGGCAUUUCCUUUUGUGGAUUAAGGCACCGUUUCUUGAUUUUCAGCAAGAAAUAGAAUCGACUGCAUUAAUAAAUUCAAUGCCUAUCCUGCCCUACAAAAACGACUUAUGAACUCUCCACAUACUUCUAGUUCAACAUUUACAUUAUUUACAAUUAUGUUGAGCCAUAUUUGGCAUCAGCAAACCCUGUAAUAUCCCCCACGUAACAUUCAGUACUAGUCCAAAUGUUUCCCACUGAAAUCAUUAGCUGACUCAUUCAAGCCAGACUGAUUACAGCCCUUUAAGGUUUUCUAUUGAACUGCCUCACCCUCAUCUAUGAAUUGACUUAAUUCAUCUCACAGUAGUUGCUAGAUGCUGUCAUUACACAAAAAAGGAAAUAUUAAGUUCUUAUCUUUUUUACUAAUAGUUACAAGUUUGGGGAAGAAACCUGAAGUAUCUUUUCAAGCACAACAGCAUCCUCCUGAAGCCAGCCCUCAAUGUACACGGAGCUCUAAAAACAUUUGCAGAUCAGGUUCCACAUUAAGAGUAGAUAAUUUGACAGUGAAGAAGUCACCACCUCCUACAUCAUAUGCAGCAUGCAAAAAUAAAUCAAAACAUUUGCUUGUGGAACAGGAAAUGCAAUCUCUUACCCAACCCGCUGAAAAGGAUUUAAACAAAUGUGAAUGGUACGUUGGAGAAUAUGAUCGCCAUAAAGCAGAGAAGAUACUGUUACAGAAAAACCUUGUAAGUACCAUUUAUCUCAAAACCUGGGCUGUAAAUUCUUGGAGGAAAAUCUCUGUAAGCUGUCCACAAUGGCUUACAAAUUUUGUUGUGAACUAA